rnacentral:rRNA from 1 species
CGAAAUGCGAUACUUGGUGUGAAUUGCAGAAUCCCGUGAACCAUCGAGUCUUUGAACGCAAGUUGCGCCCUAGGCCUUCUGGUCGAGGGCACGUCUGCCUGGGCGUCACGCACAGCGUCG